rnacentral:rRNA from 1 species
CCCUUAGAUGUUCUGGGCCGCACGCGCGCUACACUGAUUCAUGCAACAAGUUUUGUCCUUGGCUGAUAGGCCUGGGUAAUCUUUGAACGUGAAUCGUGAUGGGGAUAGAUGAUUGCAAUUAUUCAUCUUCAACGAGGAAUUCCUAGUAAACGCAAGUCAUCAGCUUGCAUUGAUUACGUCCCUGCCCUUUGUACACACCGCCCGUCGCACCUACCGAUUGAAUGGUCCGGUGAAAUCUUCGGAUCUGAGAGAUGUCUGAUUAAUUUCGGACGCCUUUUGGAAAAGUUGCUUAUACCUUACCAUUUAGAGGAAGGUGAAGUCGUAACA